UACGGAGGAUGCAAGCGUUAUCCGGAAUCACUGGGCGUAAAGCGUCUGCAGGUGGUUUCCUAAGUCCACUGUUAAACCUUGAGGCUCAACCUCAAAUCUGCAUUGGAAACUAGGAGACUUGAGUAUAGUAGGGGUAGAGGGAAUUUCCAGUGGAGCGGUGAAAUGCGUAGAUAUUGGAAAGAACACCGAUGGCGAAGGCACUCUACUGGGCUAUUACUGACACUCAGAGACGAAAGCUAGGGGAGCGAAUGGG
rnacentral:rRNA from 1 species